UUUCCCCAUAGAUUUCUCCGACACCUCGUCCGCGUCCUCGUCCUCGUCCUCGUCCAGUCUUCCUUCUCCUCUCUCCCAAGAGAGAAUUUCCCCCACCCCCAGCCCCCGGGGAUUAAAGCUAAUUACUUUUCGGGUUAGAGAUGUCGAGCAGCGAGGGCGGUCGUGGGUCGCCGGACUUCUAUCUACCGGACGAGAUAUUAUCGGUCAUUCCCACCGACCCCUACGACCAAUUAGAUCUGGCCCGCAAGAUUACGUCCAUGGCCAUUGCCUCCCGGGUCACCAAGCUGGAGUCUGAACUGGGGAGGCUUCGCCAGAAGCUCUACGACAAGGACCGCCUGGUUGUGGACCUCGAGGAUAAGCUUUCUCAGCUCCAGCACGCUUAUCAGGAGACCGACUUGCGUCUCAAAAUCGCUCUCGACAACAAUAUGAAGCUGACAAAGGAGAGGGAUUCCUUGGCCCUAGCCGCCAAGAAGCUGAGCCGUGACUUGGCCAAGUUGGAGACAUUCAAGAGGCAGUUGAUGCAGUCACUUAAUGAUGACAAUUCAUCUGUAAGUUUCCUAACUAGUCUUCCUGCUCGUAUUUUCGUGGUUUAUUUUGUUUGCAACUUCUAUAUAACAUUUCACGUUGUGUCUUGCUACAAAUCACUCCGAGCUCAUCCUUAUCAGCAAGCUGACACUGUUGAUAUUGGGACUUAUGACCAAUCAGUUCCCAAAGCCUGUCCUGCAAAAGAUGAGGAGGUGAAUGGCUACACAACACAACAUUAUUCUUCCUCUGGAACAGAUACUGCAAGCAUUUCUGAUGAUGCCUCGAAACAAAGUGGGUUGAAAUUUUCUAUGACACCGUAUUUAUCUCCACGUCUUACUCCUACUGCAACUCCAAAAAUCGUCUCUGCUAGUGUGUCCCCUGGGAGGUAUUCUGCUGCAGGAUCCCCUCAAAAAACUUCUGGUGCUACCUCUCCUACUAAAAGCCAAUAUGAAAUGCGGGGUUCACUAUCAUCAUGGUACCCAUCAAGCCAGCAGUCAUCAGCAGCAAACUCUCCCCCUCGUGGUCGCCCCAUGCCAGCUCGCACUCCUCGAAUUGAUGGAAAAGAGUUCUUUCGUCAAGCAAGGAGCCGUCUAUCCUAUGAGCAGUUCAGUGCAUUUCUGGCCAACAUAAAGGAACUAAAUGCGCAAAAGCAAUCCCGUGAGGAAACUUUGAGGAAAGCGGAACAGAUUUUUGGUAUGGAUAACAAAGAUCUAUACCUAUCUUUUCAAGGUUUGCUAAAUCGAAACGUACACUAGAAGGAAUUUUCUGGGAAGUGUUUGCAGAGGAGGUAUAAUUAAGUUCACCAUCCUUCAGUUUGGGGGUCAAGUCUCUGGUAACAGCUGAAUUUCGCCACAAGAUAUUUUUCACUGCGCAAAUUUGUGGAAGUGCAAAUGAGCAGGGACUGAACCAGUGAGAUAUAUCUAGGACUAAUUGUUGAAUCCCAUGGUGCCUGGUAGUGAUGCGCUGAAAUUAUAUCAGCACUGGCUGUCCGUACUAUGGUAUGUAUUGACCCUGGUUCACAUUGGACGGGAUUCUGUCUACUAUAUAGGUAGACGACUGUGAUCCAUUUAGCUGCUCGACUUCAUAACUUGUGUAUUAAGGCAUAUUUGAGGACAAAAACCAGCCUAUGACAAAAAUCUCACUUCUGUUGCUGCUUCUAAUGAUGAAAUGCUUGCUUGUGUUUGGGCAAAUGCAAUCUAUUAUGUCGACUUCUCC